AGGACGAACGCUGGCGGCGUGCUUAACACAUGCAAGUCGAGCGGAAAGGCCCUUCGGGGUACUCGAGCGGCGAACGGGUGAGUAACACGUGAGUAACCUGCCCCUAGCUCUGGGAUAGCUCCGGGAAACCGGGAUUAAUACCAGAUACGACCACUUUAGACAUCUGUCGUGGUGGAAAGGAUUCCGGCUAGGGAUGGGCUCGCGGCCUAUCAGCUUGUUGGUGGGGUAACGGCCUACCAAGGCGACGACGGGUAGCCGGCCUGAGAGGGCGACCGGCCACACUGGGACUGAGACACGGCCCAGACUCCUACGGGAGGCAGCAGUGGGAAUAUUGCGCAAUGGGCGAAAGCCUGACGCAGCGACGCCGCGUGGGGGAUGAAGGCCUUCGGGUUGUAAACCCUUCAGCAGGGACGAAGCGAAAGUGACGGUACCUGCAGAAGAAGCGCCGGCUAACUACGUGCCAGCAGCCGC
rnacentral:rRNA from 1 species